UACGGAGGGUGCAAGCGUUGUCCGGAAUCACUGGGCGUAAAGGGCGCGUAGGCGGCUCAUGAAGGCUGUGGUGAAAGUCCGGGGCUCAACCUCGGAUCGGCCGUGGCGACUCGUGGGCUGGAGCACUGUAGAGGCGGGUGGAAUUCCGGGUGUAGCGGUCGGAAUGCGUAGAGAUCCGGAAGAACACCAGUGGCGAAGGCGGCCCGCUGGGCAGUGGCUGACGCUGAGGCGCGACAGCGUGGGGAGCGAACAGG
rnacentral:rRNA from 1 species